AUUGAACGCUGGCGGCAUGCCUUACACAUGCAAGUCGAACGGUAACAGGUCUUCGGAUGCUGACGAGUGGCGAACGGGUGAGUAAUACAUCGGAACGUGCCUAGUAGUGGGGGAUAACUACUCGAAAGAGUGGCUAAUACCGCAUGAGAUCUACGGAUGAAAGCAGGGGAUCGCAAGACCUUGUGCUACUAGAGCGGCCGAUGGCAGAUUAGGUAGUUGGUGGGAUAAAAGCUUACCAAGCCGACGAUCUGUAGCUGGUCUGAGAGGACGAUCAGCCACACUGGGACUGAGACACGGCCCAGACUCCGACGGGAGUCAGCAGUGGGGGAUUUUGGACAAUGGGCGAAAGCCUGAUCCAGCAAUGCCGCGUGCAGGAUGAAGGCCUUCGGGUUGUAAACUGCUUUUGUACGGAACGAAAAGCCCCGGGUUAAUACCCUGGGGUCAUGACGGUACCGUAAGAAUAAGCACCGGCUAACUACGUGCCAGCAGCCGCGGUAA
rnacentral:rRNA from 1 species